rnacentral:snRNA from 1 species
AUGUUUUUUGAACAGUAAUAAAAUCUUUUAAUCAUCUGUUCUUAUCAGUUUAAUAUCUGAUACGUCCCCCAUCGGGGACUAGCAUAUUAAAUGGAUUUUUCGAACAGGAGUCGGAAAUGGGGCUUGCUCCGUCCGCUCCACGCAUCGACCCGGUAUUGCAGUACCUCCGAACACGGUGCAACACUU